GCUCUUUUUAGAGGUCCGACCAAUUACAUUUUACCUUUACUCUGUGCACACACUACUCUUUACACCAUUUUUUAACUCUAUAGUUUUAAGAAUGUAAAACAAGUCUCGAAAGAGCAACAUAACAAAACAAAACUUUCGGCAACGGAUCUCUUGGCUCUCGCAUCGAUGAAGAACGCAGCCAAGGAUCAUUAAUGAAAUUCAGGACGCUCUUUUUAGAGGUCCGACCAAUUACAUUUUACCUUUACUCUGUGCACACACUACUCUUUACACCAUUUUUUAACUC
rnacentral:misc_RNA from 1 species